CGGCGCUGUAGACGACGGCGUAUUGUUCCUGGCUGCGGGUGGGGAUGACAUCGUUCUGGGUGAUGCGGGUGGUGAUCUCCUCACUCAGCACCGU
rnacentral:tRNA from 1 species